CAUGACGGGUUCGGGCAAAUAGGCGUUGGGCCAUGUUGGACACGGAACCGGCACACUGCACGCUAAGAGCCAGAGACUCCUUAACCGCCAAUUCAUCAGACCGCCUAGCGAGCAGUCUGUUAUCUCUAGGGGUGACAAGGUUCCGGGCCACCACCGCAGCAGUCAUGUCAUUUUUCAUCAUCGAAUCCCCCACGGUAAGGGGACCGGUAGGGGAUAUGAAGGAUGGCCGCCAUAUGUUGUCUGGUGAAGGCGGAGCUGCC
rnacentral:lncRNA from 1 species